rnacentral:misc_RNA from 1 species
UAAAAAUUAGUUUGACCCGCGCACGCUCUUUUUUUUGUACGCAGACAAGUUCAAUACGAAAGUAUAAAAUCAUAUAAAGAAUGAAAUCUGACUCUAUCAGAGAAAUGUAGAACCAUGUUGUGCCUUAAAGUAUGACAUCAAUCUCUAAAUCUAUGACGUGUUUGUGACUUUGUAGUAAACAAACAAACUUGUCCUUUAAAUACA